AAAAUGGCUUGGGGCUAAGGAAGAUGUUGCUUGUAGGAUUAAGGAGUCUUUCUGCUACUUAACCUUUCUCACUCCCUGUAUAGAAGGACAUUACUUUUGUCUAUCUUCUUGGAUGUUGCAACUGUAUUUGCCUAUGAAACUCUAUUCAAGUGUAUUUCAGUGAAACAUAUGGUUGCAGGAAAUUAUGGAGUUGCUUUCGCAGUUUUAGAACUUAAAGAGG